GUGGCAUCGCUCCCAGACUACAAGUCUGCAUGUUCACGAGGAGAGGAUGAGAAAGCUAGGCAGGCACGAAGAGCCACUGGGGAACGUGUCUUGAAAACAAGCAUGGAUUAUUUAAAAAAAAAUUCAAGAAGGUUGGGACAGAACAAGAUGAGCUGGAACUGAGGGACGAAGUUCUAUUUUCCAAGGAGCUGACCCCGUGGUGAUGAGUGCCUCGUUUGUCAGGAUUACCUAAAUAAAGGCAGGCUUGGAGGCCAGCAGAGCCUAGUUACAUAGCCUCCUUGGCUGUGGUCCAUGAGACAUCUGAGAAAGAGUCCCCUACCCUAGGGUAAAAGCCCCCUGGAAUUUCAUCCAAGGAUUUAUAAGAAAUCCUUUGGGAACUUCUUUAGGUUUCGUCCUAAACUACACACAUUGGAAACCAAUCAAAGUAGCACUGGCUUGUUGAUUUAGACCCAGGUCCUGUAUUGACAAGCGUAAUCUCCCUUUGGGAUAAAUUAGUGAAGUGUAUAGAAAGCAUCUCAGGUGAAGAUAGGAUCGGCACAUAGAACCAGUACUUUCCAGGAUGGGCAUCGCAAUGAGGCUCUGGCCGACAGACCUCCAUGAUGUGCAAACUGCCUUUGUAUUAUUAACUGCAAAAGAAAAAUUUUUCUUCCUUAACGUAUUUCUGCAACCAAAAGAGAGUGAUGUCGCACAAAUCUUAGUAGCAUCUGAGAGAACCAUAAUCACAGGUGCCAUCAGGAUAGUAAGUAAGUGAUUGCAGAGCACCUGAAAAACACCAAGUGCUGCCCAAGAGUGCGAUACUGACCCUACAUCAUGCCACCACAGCCACCCCCUGCAUCGGCUUCCACACGUGAAAGGCAGGUGUGAUAAACCACACCAUAGCACCCACAGGAAGGAGUUCAUGUUCCUCCAGCCCUUCUUUCUAGCGUGUCUGGGUGAAGCCUUUCCACAGACAGGAAAGGAUAGUGUUUCCUUCUGAAAAAACAGCACAGAAAAGAAUAAUUUCCAUUUAAUGUAUAAAGAGCCUAACUGAAGUUCAAGGAUGCUUCUUGUUCAGUCUAUGGAUUUCAUUACAAUAAGUGUGUCUAAGAGAGAGUGUUCAUUUCAUUCCUGUUAUGUAAGGAAGAGGGAGAGACAAGUGCAGAAACUCAAAGACUGGCUGCCUCCCCACCCCUUCCUCCACUUUGCUGUUUGGUCAAUUUCCUUGAUGUAACUUUUACUUAAAAACAUUUAUUGAGCAUCUAGGAUGUGCCAGCACUGGCUUAGGCCCUGGGAAUUCAGGGAUGAAUACAACAUAGCCUCUGCUCAUGUAAUUCUAGGUUACCUGGGGCAGACAGACAUGAAGAAAGAGCAAAUAGGAACCAGUGUGCUGAGAGCCCCCCAAUCCGGUGUAUGUAGAUUCUGAAAUUGAAAUUCUCCUUCCUGGAUCCUGAACCAGAAAAUUGAUUUAUGUAAUGCGGGACUGCAAUGAAUUCCUAAUGUGACCUGGUGUACAGAGAUGCAAAAUUUCCUAACUUUACACCAUAUGGCUUUUAAGUAAGCAGCUGAACUGCUGGGCACAUGCACUGGGGUUGGACUCCAACAUAGUGCUGGGUAUUUAAAAUAUAUUUAUUGUUGGCAAGUGCUUUUUAAUGUGUUGGGUCCCAUUGAUGGUUUAGAAGGCCUGGAAAGGGGAAAGAAAGGUUGGGAAAAUAACGGGAAAGGAUUGAGUGGGUAUUGGGAAUAAAAAGUCUGAAGAGUCAAGGAUGGGUCA
rnacentral:lncRNA from 1 species